GCGCCUGUAGCUCAGUGGAUAGAGCAACCGCCUUCUAAGCGGUCGGUCAUUGGUUCGAGUCCAAUCAGGCGCG
rnacentral:tRNA from 1 species